rnacentral:rRNA from 1 species
AAUCAACGCUGGCGGCGUGCCUAACACAUGCAAGUCGAACGCGAAAGCCCCUUCGGGGGUAAGUAGAGUGGCGUCCGGGUGAGUAACACGUAGGUAAUCUACCUUCGGGUGGGGGAAGUAACCAGUCGAAAGAUUGGCUAAUACCGCAUAAUGCAGCGGCACCUAAUGGUGAUUAGUUGUUAAAGACGGGGGAGUCGUAAGACCUCGCGCCUGAAGAGGAGCCUGCGGCAGAUUAGCUAGUUGGNGAGGUAAUGGCUCACCAAGGCUUCGAUCUGUAGCUGGUCUGAGAGGACGGCCAGCCACACUGGCACUGACACACGGGCCAGACUCCUACGGGAGGCAGCAGU